AGUGAACGCUGGCGGUAGGCCUAACACAUGCAAGUCGAACGGCAGCACAGUAAGAGCUCGCUCUUACGGGUGGCGAGUGGCGGACGGGUGAGAAAUACAUCGCAAUCUACUUUUACGUGGGGGAUAACGGAGGGAAACUUACGCUAAUACCGCAUACGACCUACGGGUGGAAGCAGGGGAUCUUCGGACCUUGCGCGACUGAAUGAGCCGAUGUCGGAUUAGCUAGUUGGCGGGGUAAAGGCCCACCAAGGCGACGAUCCGUAGCUGGUCUGAGAGGAUGAUCAGCCACACUGGAACUGAGACACGGUCCAGACUCCUACGGGAGGCAGCAGUGGGGAAUAUUGGACAAUGGGCGAAAGCCUGAUCCAGCCAUGCCGCGUGAGUGAAGAAGGCCUUCGGAUUGUAAAGCCCUUUUAUUGGGAAAGAAAAGCAGCAGGUUAAUACCCCGCUGUUUUGACGGUACCCAAAGAAUAAGCACCGGCUAACUUCGUG
rnacentral:rRNA from 1 species